UACGGGUGAUGCGAGUGUUACUCUUCUUCAUUGGGCGUAAAGGGUGCGUAGGUGGUAUAAUUAGUUUUAAAUCAAAGGGUAAAAAAUAUCGACUUUAUUUUUACCAGUAUUUUCUAUACUAUUAUACUAGAGUAUGCAUUAGGAUAGUGGAAUUACUUAUAAAGAAUUUAAAUGCGUUAGUAUAUAAGUAGGAACGCCAAAGGCGAAGGCAAUUAUCCGUGUAUUACUGACACUGAGGCACGAAGGCGUAGGUAUCAAAUCGG
rnacentral:misc_RNA from 1 species